rnacentral:rRNA from 1 species
AGAGUUUGAUCCUGGCUCAGGAUGAACGCUAGCUACAGGCUUAACACAUGCAAGUCGAGGGGCAGCAUGUCGGUUGCUUGCAACCGAUGAUGGCGACCGGCGCACGGGUGAGUAACGCGUAUCCAACCUACCCUUGUCCAUCGGAUAACCCGUCGAAAGGCGGCCUAACACGAUAUGCGGUUCUCAGCAGGCAUCUAACGAGAACGAAAUGUGAAGGAGAAGGAUGGGGAUGCGUCUGAUUAGCUUGUUGGCGGGGUAACGGCCCACCAAGGCUACGAUCAGUAGGGGUUCUGAGAGGAAGGUCCCCCACAUUGGAACUGAGACACGGUCCAAACUCCUACGGGAGGCAGCAGUGAGGAAUAUUGGUCAAUGGACGAGAGUCUGAACCAGCCAAGUAGCGUGCAGGAUGACGGCCCUAUGGGUUGUAAACUGCUUUUAUAGGGGGAUAAAGUGUGCCACGUGUGGCAUAUUGCAGGUACCCUAUGAAUAAGGACCGGCUAAUUCCGUGCCAGCAGCCGCGGUAAUACGGAAGGUCCAGGCGUUAUCCGGAUUUAUUGGGUUUAAAGGGAGCGUAGGCCGUUUGGUAAGCGUGUUGUGAAAUGUCGGGGCUCAACCUGGGCAUUGCAGCGCGAACUGCCAGACUUGAGUGCGCAGGAAGUAGGCGGAAUUCGUCGUGUAGCGGUGAAAUGCUUAGAUAUGACGAAGAACUCCGAUUGCGAAGGCAGCCUGCUGUAGCGCAACUGACGCUGAAGCUCGAAAGCGUGGGUAUCGAACAGGAUUAGAUACCCUGGUAGUCCACGCGGUAAACGAUGGAUGCUCGCUGUUUGCGUCUGACGUAAGCGGCCAAGCGAAAGCGUUAAGCAUCCCACCUGGGGAGUACGCCGGCAACGGUGAAACUCAAAGGAAUUGACGGGGGCCCG